UGAAAAUAUUUGUGAUACUUUUCAGAUUUUCGUAGAUGAAGAGAACACAUAAGAGGAGACUGUUGCAUGUGAUACUGAGGAUGAAGAUCAAGAUGAAAAGGGGACCAGUGAUGGUGGGAACAUUAGUAUCACAAAGGUCUUCUGCUGAAUUGCACUGUGGUGAAAAACCCGUGAUGUUCCUGAGAUAUCUAAAAGUUUGUCGUGUUCUUGAGCCAGAGUGCCGCCCUACCAAAAACCACAUCAUGACUACCUUGUAGGACAACACUGUGACCCCACCAGUUCUUGUCAUCUGCAUGUGACAUGAGAAAUAUGGCAUUGUUAUAGAGCCUGGAUAUUUGAGUUACUGUGACAUUUUUGGCAGCUAAAACCAUCCAUACAUCAAUUUUCUUCCACUUCUCUGGAGCCGGGUUGCAGGGACAGCAGCCAAAGCAGAGAAAGCCAGACCUCCCUCUCCCUAGACAUCUCCUCUGUCUUGUCAGGGGAACACCAAGGUGUUCACAGAUCAGCCGAGAGAUGCAGUCUCUCCAGCAUUUCCUGGGUCUGUCCCGGAGUCUCCUUUUGAUGGGCCCGAACCACCUCAACCGGAUCCUUUCAAUGUGGAGAAUUAGCCCCUUUCCCUUGGCCAAACUCCUCACCCUAUCUCUAAGGGAGAGGCCAGCCAUCCUUUGGAGAAAUCUCAUCUGCACCACUUGUAUCGGCGAUCUUGUCUUUCAGUCUUCAGUGAUCUUCUCUGGCUCUUGAUGAAGGCAGUCACACUUUCUCCUUCUCCCUUUCCUUAUCUUUCCUGCUUGGCUUUCUCAUGUCUCUGUGUAGUCUUGUCUACUUCUGUCCCUCUAUGCUGGAAGAGUCUCACAGUCUGUUCUCUAAAACCUAAAAGAGGAAUUAUGGAUUUGAUCAACUUGUCCCUGAAUGCAAUUGACAUCCUCUUCUCAACGAGAAGCCGGGUUUUGGGAGAGCCCAUUGAAGACAUCUACCUUUUUGGAACCAUGAUAACAGGGUUCUUGCUGAUCGGCGCUGGCUUGGCACUGGCUUGGCACUGGCUUAUCGAAGAAUAAAGAAAGCGGAAACAGCUGUUCAAAUCCCCACAAGGCUGCCUGCUAUGUUGAUUGGAACGAUGGAGCGAGCCGUGGCUUCUCAGAAUGGGCUCAUUAGACGCAGCACGGAUGACAUCUUGGAGAAGCUUGCUCUCCAACGGGAAUGGUGAGGAACCAGUGAUGGACAUUAGAUCGACUGUAAAAUUGACAUGCAGUGGUUCACACUAAAGCAAGGACACCACCAUUAUUUCAUGUGGCUACCAUAUCGGCGCCAGCUGUGGUCUCAAGGCUGGAGCUGAACAUAACAAACAAUUUCUCCCCGGAUAACAAACUGUGUUUAGACUCUUCGUUCCAAACGCCCUCGUACGCUUAUCUCCAAGGCCGAGUUGGACAGCAGGUCUGGGCCCAGCGCUGGAAAAAUAGCUGCAGGGCAGGAUGGCUGUGUCUGCGUCGGCUUACUUCUCACCCCUUACCCACCUCUGUUGCUUGUCACGUGCUUAAUGUUCCGAUGUGGACAUUUAUGUGCUCUUUGUGCAGAGGAGUUUUUUUGUUUUCUGUUCUCAGUUUUUCCAUAAUACUACCAGUCUCCAACCUGUCUCCCCAUGUGAUGUCUGUGUUGUGUAUGUAAGAUCUUUAUUUGCAUGUGACAAAUAAAGGCUUUCUUGACUUGACUUCAGUCACUACCCAAAGCUCAUGACCAUAGGUGAGUGUAGAGACGUAGAUUGACCGGUAAUUCAAGAGCGUCGCUUUUACACUCACCCCUUUUUUCACCAAGACUCUGAUUCUGGUUUCUAACCCUUUAAGACCUACCAUAG